rnacentral:lncRNA from 1 species
UGGGCUGUGGUUUUCUAUUUGGCAAUAGUGCAGCUUAAAUGAAUGUAUGCUGUCCCUCCAGCUCCCCUGUCCAGCCCAGACCUGGUUUGUGCUGCAGCCACAAACAGCAGCACCAGCACAACAUGGGGCCUUCUCCUUCUGCAGCUCACUGCUUGGAAAGAUUUCAGGAGUGCUUCUGUCCCAUUUUAAGCCCUACAGUUCAGCAGCCAAAUAUAAAGAAAUCAGAUGAAUCUGGACAGCGUGAGGCCCUGAAAUGCUGUCUUGGAUUUUCACACCAGUAAGGCAAAGAAACAGGAGUGUCCAUGCAAAUCCACAAGCGUGUGUUUGACUUCUCUGUUAGUAAGCAGCAAUAGCCAUUGUCACACAUGUGUAGGGCAGGCUAUAAAUAACCCUCCAAGGAAAAGUGAGUCCAGCUUUGGUUCCUUCCAUAAGGACAAGUGGUUGGUUGGGCUCACAUGUCACACUAGGCACAUAACCCCCUGGAAUUAACCCUAAUCACACGGCUUGGUUCCUUACCUCACUUUGAGCAGUGAGAAGUGUUGAUUGCAUUACAGCUACUUCCUUUUCAUGAAAACACCAGUGAAGGGAACACCAGAAAUGGCUGGUGUGUGCUGUAUCAGUUACAUUGUCAGUGGUGCCUCUGCUAAAAUGUGUUUCUGUACAAUUCAGUGAUUGACUCCAUCACAGACUGCUUUUCUACUUGACUGGAGUAGACUUGACUAGUAGACUUUUGGACUGGAGUAGACUUUUCUACUUGACUCAAUUUCUGGGCAAUACAAUACAGUAGGUUGGAGAGAUAAUGAAAAUUAGAAGAUUUACCAAAAUCAGAAAUCGUUGGUGAAAGCUCGUUCUGUCCCUAAGUGCCUUCUCUCAGCUAUUUUCUAGAGAAACUCCCUAGUUCCAAAAUCCCAUAUUAAUGAACGUAGAUAUGGGCAUCUGCUCCGCUGUCUGGGUUUGUGCUGCUGGUGAACACCCACCCUGUUCUGCACGUGACAGCAAAGGAUCCUCAUGGGAGCUGUAAGAAGGGAGAGGGGCUGGGCUGGCUGCAAAGGGCUCAGCUGCCUCACUGAAGCCUCAAGGGUGAUGUUCAGCCCUUUCACAGAAUGGGAGAAUUUCAGGUGGGCAGGAUGGUCUAUGGGCACCAGCCAGCAUCUGGAGGCAGCCGAGUCUCCACAGCUGCACCUGCUUGGCGUCACUUCACCCUUACAGAUGCCCCUUAGCAUCUUCCUAUAACCAGCAUGGGAAUUCUGGUCCACUGGUCCCAUACCCAGUCCACAAACU